rnacentral:tRNA from 1 species
GCGGGGUGGAGCAGCCUGGUAGCUCGUCGGGCUCAUAACCCGAAGGUCGUCGGUUCA